GUUGCAUCUUCGGAAGGAAUAAUGCUUCCAGUUACAUCACUUGGACUGUGGGCCUCCCUCCUUCCCAGCGGCUCAUAACAGAACCCUAAAUAGCUAAGUAGAUCAGGAUUUUGCGGGGUGCCAAAGGAGUCUUUGCAAAUCAACAGUUCCUCUUUUCUUUUCUUUUGUGGUGAAUUUGCUGCUUGUGAAAGCGAAGGAGUGGUGAUGCUGCUUGGAAAAAAGCACUGGGCGAGCAAGGGCUGUGCAAGCUUCACCCCCCAAGGUAGACUCUGCCAGUGUAUUUCAGUCCUGAUUUCCACCCCUGCUGUUUAAGCCCUGGGCUGAACUGAGCUGAGUCUGCAGAGAUUUUGAAUCCUACAGAGCAUUUAUGACGUGGAGAGAGUACUACGUUAAUUUUCACUUGACUUUAAUAGAAUAUGAUCCUGAAUGUCUAGAGGCAAAAUCUUUUUGUAGUAGCUCACUGAAGCUGUUAACCCCAGACAGUGUCCCUUCAAGAAGCUGUAUACUUGCAUUUAAUACUCUCCUACUAGCUCCUCUCCUUCUGUGGAUUCUAUUUUUGUCCCUAGUUUGUAUUUUUUCCUAUCUCUUUUUAGAGGAGUCUCUGCCAGAAUUUAGAUCUAAACAGCUUUGGUUGUUCACGGGUGUGCACACACUCUGUUCCUUGUUUACAGUUUCUCUCUGUACCCCUCUGAAAAGCACUGCUAGGCUAGUGUAUUGCUAUUGAAUAUGUGGUAUGCCUAUAUUUCCCCCCCCCCCCCCCAGAUAUUUCCUGUUCAUAGGAAUCAGGUAUUGGCAGGACUGCACAUGAUGCCAUCUGUUCUGACAGGCAGUGUUUGAUCAGGCAGGAUAUUGGCACGUAUGAGAAUCCUGUGCUGGAGGUUGAAGCAUUAUAGGUAAUUCAGUGUAGAGUACUGGGUUUGUUGUUCAGCUGUCCAUUAGCCAAAAUGGGAUUUUUUUUUUAAAAAAAAAAAUUACGUGAAUUUAGGGCUGGUGAAAGAUUCUGGUUUGAGAAUGCCAGGGGGAAAACAUCCUCUGCAUGUCAACAGAACAAACCUGAGCUGGAGAGGGCACCUCUAGGGCUGAGAGGAGAUGCACUCAGUCCUUCCUCUGAGAAUGCUGAGAUGGAAACACUUGUCCAGCAAACACAUUUCACAUACGUCAUCAAACAUCAGAUGCUAAGAGCUUUAGGUAGGGUUUGAUAACAUCUUUUACUCCUAAAUUACCUCAUGUUCUGAUACCAUCAAGCCAUCAAGCCUGUGAUAAAAUGGGAUUUUAGAAAUAUUACUUGCCUGUUUGGAAGGUUGAUAGUCCCUGCUCUAUUAGAAGAACUU